rnacentral:rRNA from 1 species
GGCUGAAAUUCGCCUACAUGAAGUGGAAUUGCUAGUAAUGGCAGGUCAGCAUACUGCCGUGAAUACGUUCCCGGGCCUUGUACACACCGCCCGUCACACCAUGGGAGUCGGGAAUGCCCGAAGCCAGUGACCCAAGCGAAAGCAGGGAGCUGUCGAAGGCAGGCCGGAUAACUGGGGGUGAAGUCGUAACAAGGUACC